rnacentral:tRNA from 1 species
UCUCUGUUAGUAUAUCGGAUAGUACACGCGCCUGUCAUCAAUCUGAUCGCGCGAAAGCGGGGUUCGACUCCCCGACAUAGAG